rnacentral:rRNA from 1 species
UGAGUAACACGUGGGUGAUCUGCCCUGCACUUUGGGAUAAGCCUGGGAAACUGGGUCUAAUACCGAAUAUUCCUCUUGGAUCGCAUGGUUCUUGGGGGAAAGCUUUUGCGGUGUGGGAUGGGCCCNCNGCCUAUCAGCUUGUUGGUGGGGUGAUGGCCUACCAAGGCGACGACGGGUANCCGGCCUGANAGGGUGUCCGGCCACACUGGGACUGAGAUACGGCCCAGACUCCUACGGGAGGCAGCAGUGGGGAAUAUUGCACAAUGGGCGCAAGCCUGAUGCAGCGACNCCGCGUGGGGGAAUGACGGCCUUCGGGUUGUAAACCCCUUUCAGUACCGACNAANCCGCANGGUGACGGUAGGUACANAAGAAGCACCGGCCAACUACGUGCCAGCANCCGCGGUAAUACGUAGGGUGCGANCGUUGUCCGGAAUUACUGGGCGUAAAGAGCUCGUAGGUGGUUUGUCGCGUUGUCCGUGAAAACUCACAGCUUAACUGUGGNCGUGCGGNCGAUACGGGCAGACUGGAGUACUGCAGGGNAGACUGGAAUUCCUGGUGUAGCGGUGGAAUGCGCAGAUAUCAGGAGGAACACCGGUGGCNAAGGCGGGUCUCUGGGCAGUAACUGACGCUGANGAGCGAAAGCGUGGGGANCGAACAGGAUUAGAUACCCUGGUAGUCCACGCCGUAAACGGUGGGUACUAGGUGUGGGUUUCCUUCCUUGGGAUCCGUGCCGUAGCUAACGCAUUAAGUACCCCGCCUGGGGAGUACGGCCGCAAGGCUAAAACUCAAAGGAAUUGACGGGGGCCCGCACAA